AACGGUCUAUACCUGCGGUACCUGCGGAAGGAUCAUUACCGAGUUUACAACUCCCAAACCCCUGUGAACAUACCACUCGUUGCCUCGGCGGAUCACCGCGCCCCGUGAAACGGGCCGGCCCGCCAGAGGACCUAAACUCAAAUGUUUUAUUGUAUCUUCUGAGUAAAAACACAAAUAAAUCAAAACUUUCAACAAUGGAUCUCU
rnacentral:misc_RNA from 1 species